CGCCAGACUCCUACGGGAGGCAGCAGUGAGGAAUAUUGGUCAAUGGGCGGAAGCCUGAACCAGCCAAGUCGCGUGAGGGAAUAAGGCCCUACGGGUCGUAAACCUCUUUUGCCGGGGAGCAAGGGCGGGGACGUGUCCCGGCCCGGAGAGUACCCGGAGAAAAAGCAUCGGCUAACUCCGUGCCAGCAGCCGCGGUAAUACGGAGGAUGCGAGCGUUAUCCGGAUUUAUUGGGUUUAAAGGGUGCGUAGGCGGGACGGUAAGUCAGCGGUAAAAAUGCGGAGCUCAACUCCGUCGAGCCGUUGAAACUGCCGUUCUUGAGUGAGCGAGAAGUAUGCGGAAUGCGUGGUGUAGCGGUGAAAUGCAUAGAUAUCACGCAGAACUCCGAUUGCGAAGGCAGCAUACCGGCGCGCAACUGACGCUCAUGCACGAAAGCGUGGGUAUCGAACAGGAUUAGAUACCCCGGUAUA
rnacentral:rRNA from 1 species